CCCUUAGACGUUCUGGGCCGCACGCGCGCUACACUGACGAAGGCAACGAGUUUUCCUUUACCGAAAGGUACGGGUAAUCUUUUGAAACUUCGUCGUGCUGGGGAUAGAUCCUUGCAAUUUUUGAUCUUAAACGAGGAAUGCCUAGUAAGCGCAAGUCAUCAACUUGCGUUGAUUACGUCCCUGCCCUUUGUACACACCGCCCGUCGCUACUACCGAUUGAAUGGUUUAGUGAGGCCUUCGGAUCCGCGACUCGUUUGUGGAGAAGUUGGACAAACUCAGUCAUUUAGAGGAAGUAAAAGUCGUAACA
rnacentral:rRNA from 1 species